ensembl:snoRNA
UGGAUCGAUGAUGACACUGAGCCUAUGAGUCACAUGUGAUGAACACGUGUCUGGAACUCUGAGGUCCAA